UACGGAAGAGGUUUAGGGCCACAUAUGAAAAAUGUAUUUGAGUCCUAAGUUUAAAGUCCCAAUCCCGACAUUUU